GCGGCAAUAGCUCAGUUGGUAGAGCGCCAUCCUUCCAAGUUGGAGGUCGCGGGUUCGAGACCCGCUUGCCGCUCCA
rnacentral:tRNA from 3 species